rnacentral:rRNA from 1 species
GACGAACGCUGGCGGCGUGCCUAAUACAUGCAAGUUGAGCGCUGAAGGUUGGUACUUGUACCAACUGGAUGAGCAGCGAACGGGUGAGUAACGCGCGGGGAAUCUGCCUUUGAGCGGGGGACAACAUUUGGAAACGAAUGCUAAUACCGCAUAAAAACUUUAAACACAAGUUUUAAGUUUGAAAGAUGCAAUUGCAUCACUCAAAGAUGAUCCCGCGUUGUAUUAGCUAGUUGGUGAGGUAAAGGCUCACCAAGGCGAUGAUACAUAGCCGACCUGAGAGGGUGAUCGGCCACAUUGGGACUGAGACACGGCCCCAACUCCUACGGGAGGCAGCAGUAGGGAAUCUUCGGCAAUGGACGAAAGUCUGACCGAGCAACGCCGCGUGAGUGAAGAAGGUUUUCGGAUCGUAAAACUCUGUUGGUAGAGAAGAACGUUGGUGAGAGUGGAAAGCUCAUCAAGUGACGGUAACUACCCAGAAAGGGACGGCUAACUACGUG